rnacentral:rRNA from 1 species
CUAAAAACCUAGCCCAACAAACAUGAAUUUUACCAAAUUAACUAAACCCCUCUUAACAAACCAUUUUAAUAUUCUAGUAAAGGAGAUUGAAAAACUUAUUUGGAGCUAUAAAAACAGUACCGCAAGGGAACGGUGAAAUAUUAUGAAAAACUUCAAGCAGCAAAAAGUAAAGAUUACCUCUUGUACCUUUCGCAUCAUGGUUUAACUAGUCUAACCAAGCAAAACGUAUUUAAGUUUGACUUCCCGAAACUAAGUGAGCUACUUCAGGGCAGCUAGAAGAGCAAACCCGUCUCUGUAGCAAAAGAGUGGGACGACCCUCAAGUAGUGGUGACAGACCUAACGAACUUAGUGAUAGCUGGUUGCUCAAGAAACGGAUUUAAGUCCAACCUGAAAGUUUUAUAACCUAAGUUCAUCAAAACAAUCACCUAGCUUUCAGCGUAAUUCAAAUAAGGUACAGCCUAUUUGAAACAGGAUACAACCUAGCCUAGUGGAUAAGAUCAGCCUAACAUACAAUCAAGUGGGCCUAAAAGCAGCCACCUUUAAUACAGCGUCAAAGCUAAAUUGUAACUGAGCCCAAUUACUUAACCCAUAUCUUAAUCCCCUGCCAAUACUGAGUAAUUCUAUAAUAUUAUAGAAAUUUUUAUGUUAAAACUAGUAACAAGAAGAAGAUUCUUCUCUUAAAUGUACGUAUAAAUCAGAAAAGACAAGCUACUGAUGCUUAACACCUCUGAGCAUAAAGUAGUAACUAACCAAGAAAACUCUACUUUUACUGGUGUUAAUCUAACACAAGAACA